CAAGCAUGAGGCAGGAACUGCAUUACUUGCAAGAAAGUCACAAAAUCAAUUGCAGGACAUACUUGUGGUUUUCUUGCAAGUUGUGCAGUUGUUGCCUCAAGCUUG
rnacentral:pre_miRNA from 1 species